GACGUAGGGCGCGAGCGUUGUCCGGAUUUAUUGGGCGUAAAGAGCUCGUAGGCGGCUCGUUGCGUCGGCUGUGAAAACCCGCAGCUCAACUGUGGGCUUGCAGCCGAUACGGGCGGGCUGGGAUUCGGUAGGGGAGACUGGAAUUCCUGGUGUAGCGGUGAAAUGCGCAGAUAUCAGGAGGAACACCGGUGGCGAAGGCGGAUCUCUGGGCCAUUACUGACGCUGAGGAGCGAAAGCGUGGGGAGCGAACAGG
rnacentral:rRNA from 1 species